UCAACAGAGGGAAGCAAAACCGCGAGGUGGAGCAAAUCCCCAAAAGCCGUCCCAGUUCGGAUUGCAGGCUGAAACCCGCCUGUAUGAAGUUGGAAUCGCUAGUAAUCGCGGAUCAGCAUGCCGCGGUGAAUACGUUCCCGGGCCUUGUACACACCGCCCGUCACACCAUGAGAGUCGGGAACACCCGAAGUCCGUAGCCUAACAGCAAUGGGGGCGCGGCCGAAGGUGGGUUCGAUAAUUGGGGUGAAGUCGUAACAAGGUAAC
rnacentral:rRNA from 1 species